rnacentral:rRNA from 1 species
AGCGAACGCUGGCGGCAGGCUUAACACAUGCAAGUCGAGCGGGCACAUCGGGGUCAGCGGCAGACGGGGGAGUAACACGUGGGAACGUAACCAUGGGGUCGGAAUAACGCUGGGAAACGAGCGCUAAUACCGGACAGGACCUAAUGGGGGAAGGCUUGCUGAAGAAGGAGGGGCCCGCGUCAGAUUAGCUAGUUGGGGGGGUAAUGGCCUACCAAGGGGAGGAUCAGUAGCUGGGCUGGGAGGCUGAUCAGCCACACUGGGACUGGGACACGGCCCGGACUCCUACGGGAGGCAGCAGUGGCGAAUGUUGGACCGUGGGCGCAAGCCUGAUCCUGCCCUGCCGCGUGAGUGAUGAAGGCCUUAGGGUUGUAAAGCUCUUUUGUCCGUGCCGAUAAUGACGGUACCGGAAGAAUAAGCCCCGGCUAACUUCGUG